rnacentral:rRNA from 4 species
AAGAGUUUGAUCAUGGCUCAGAUUGAACGCUGGCGGCAGGCCUAACACAUGCAAGUCGAACGGUAACAGGAAGCAGCUUGCUGCUUUGCUGACGAGUGGCGGACGGGUGAGUAAUGUCUGGGAAACUGCCUGAUGGAGGGGGAUAACUACUGGAAACGGUGGCUAAUACCGCAUAACGUCGCAAGACCAAAGAGGGGGACCUUCGGGCCUCUUGCCAUCAGAUGUGCCCAGAUGGGAUUAGCUUGUUGGUGAGGUAACGGCUCACCAAGGCGACGAUCCCUAGCUGGUCUGAGAGGAUGACCAGCCACACUGGAACUGAGACACGGUCCAGACUCCUACGGGAGGCAGCAGUGGGGAAUAUUGCACAAUGGGCGCAAGCCUGAUGCAGCCAUGCCGCGUGUAUGAAGAAGGCCUUCGGGUUGUAAAGUACUU